GAUGAACGCUGGCGGCGUGCCUAAUACAUGCCAGUCGAGCGAACGGACGAGAAGCUUGCUUCUCUGAUGUUAGCGGCGGACGGGUGAGUAACACGUGGAUAACCUACCUAUAAGACUGGGAUAACUUCGGGAAACCGGAGCUAAUACCGGAUAAUAUUUUGAACCGCAUGGUUCAAAAGUGAAAGACGGUCUUGCUGUCACUUAUAGAUGGAUCCGCGCUGCAUUAGCUAGUUGGUAAGGUAACGGCUUACCAAGGCAACGAUGCAUAGCCGACCUGAGAGGGUGAUCGGUCACACUGGAACUGAGACACGGUCCAGACUCCUACGGGAGGCAGCAGUAGGGAAUCUUCCGCAAUGGGCGAAAGCCUGACGGAGCAACGCCGCGUGAGUGAAGAAGGUCUUCGGAUCGUAAAACUCUGUUAUUAGGGAAGAACAUAUGUGUAAGAAACUGAGCACAUCUUGACGGUACCUAAUCAGAAAGCCACGGCUAACUACGUG
rnacentral:rRNA from 1 species